GAUAACCAGUCGAAAGAUUGGCUAAUACCGGAUAAGCCCACGGUCUCUUCGGAGACUGAGGGAAAAGGUGGCCUCUGUAUACAAGCUAUCACAACCAGAUGAGUCCGCGGCCCAUCAGCUAGUUGGCGGGGUAAUGGCCCACCAAGGCAACGACGGGUAGCUGGUCUGAGAGGACGAUCAGCCACACUGGAACUGAGACACGGUCCAGACUCCUACGGGAGGCAGCAGUGGGGAAUUUUGCGCAAUGGGCGAAAGCCUGACGCAGCAACGCCGCGUGUGUGAUGAAGGUCUUUGGAUUGUAAAGCACUUUCGACCGGGACGAAACCGUAAAGCCUAAUACGCUUUGCCUUGACGGUACCGGGAGAAGAAGCACCGGCUAACUCUGUGCCAGCAGCCGCGGUAAUACAGAGGGUGCAAGCGUUGUUCGGAAUUAUUGGGCGUAAAGCGCGUGUAGGCGGCUUUGCAAGUCGGGUGUGAAAGCCCUCAGCUCAACUGAGGAAGUGCGCCCGAAACUGCAGAGCUUGAGUGCCGGAGAGGGUGGCGGAAUUCCCCAAGUAGAGGUGAAAUUCGUAGAUAUGGGGAGGAACACCGGUGGCGAAGGCGGCCACCUGGACGGUAACUGACGCUGAGACGCGAAAGCGUGGGUAGCAAACAGGAUUAGAUACCCUGGUAGUCCACGCCGUAAACGAUGAGAACUAGGUGUCGUGGGAGUUGACCCCCG
rnacentral:rRNA from 1 species